rnacentral:rRNA from 1 species
UACGGGGGGAGCAAGCGUUGUUCGGAUUUACUGGGCGUAAAGGGCGCGUAGGCGGUCAGCACAAGUCAGUUGUGAAAUCUCCGGGAUUAACUCGGAAAGGUCAACUGAUACUGUGCGACUAGAGUGCAGAAGGGGCAACUGGAAUUCUCGGUGUAGCGGUGAAAUGCGUAGAUAUCGAGAGGAACACCUGCGGCGAAGGCGGGUUGCUGGGCUGACACUGACGCUGAGGCGCGAAAGCCAGGGGAGCGAACGGG